AAACACACUGAUUCUGAGACAUCUAGGGAACCACAGAACAAGUUCUGGGCUGGAGAUGUAGAUUUCAUUUGAGAGCUGCCAGUAGUAGAGACGGUAAUUGAAGCCAUGGGAAUGGAGGUGAUUGUCCAGGGAGUGUAGGUAAAGUGAGAAUAGAUAAGUGCCAAAGGGCACAGUCUGGGUAUGUCAACAUUUAAGUGACAAUUUCAGAAAGAGAAGCCAAGGAAGAAACCAGAGAAAAGCAGUUGGAGAAGCAAGAAGGCAACCAGAAGUGGCCUUGGUACAGCUGUGAUGGGGAGACAAUGACGAAACAGCAGGAACUGGCACUGAGAGUUAUUGGUGUAGCUUGGGCUCUCCCCUCAUCAUCCUCUCCAGCUGGGAGUCAUGUGACAGAAGCAAGAAGCCUGUCACAGCGCACAUGUAAAAGAGCAAACUCCAGACACACACGUCUUAUCUGUGCUGACGGCCCACCUUGGUGACUGGAAAUGACACCAUCCAAUUUUUUCUGGCCGCAAUGUUGCACCCCUGAUUUUUUCCUUCAUAUGACAGACUUCACAGCAAAUACUCCUACUGAGUCCAAACAACCGCUACGAUUGAGAACAAGCAUGAAUCCGCCACCCACCUUCUCCUGGAAAUAAGGUUAUUGGGUUGCUGAACUCCCAUGAACCAAAAAGAAAACACUGAAUGGUAUCCAAACCAGCCUGGAAAGGACAGCGAGAAAAGCCAGAACCAAGGCUGACCAGCCUGAAUGCUGGUAAAUGUUAUCAAGAAUCUGGAGCAGGAGCCUCAGUCUCCUAUCAAAAGGAGAAGAACCUGAAGAAAACACUUCUCUUCCUUCUCUCUGCCUAGGGGCAGUGACCUUGGAUUCAACCACCAUCAUCCCUUCCAGACACCAGAGGGGGGAGUCCCACAAGGCAGAAGGUGCCCCUGUGACCCAUCCACUUCUCUUCCAUGUUCUUUACCUCCUUGCUCAGGAAGCCAUAAAGUUGAGCUGAGUGGAAGGUGAAUUUCAUUGCAAAGUUUACACAGGCUCUGCUGACAGGUUCAUGAAAACACUACUGAAUAUGUUACAUACCACCAAGGCUCACAGCACAUCCUGUGUUGGAAGUGAUACUUUUCCAUUACCAGUAAACCUCCUUUUGUCCUAGGAGCUCACUGAACAGCUAAAAUCAGGUGAUAUUUUUAUGUGGAACAUGCAACGUAUUAAGUCCUUUUGCUCAGUGACCCAAAAAGGAACUAAACGGUACCCAGACUAGAAAUCAAUGUCAAAUUAUUCAAAUAAAUUCCACUUAAAGAAUGGUGGUUUGGAAAGCGCUCAGUCAGAAAGAAUUCUCCCAAGAUUAGUUUACUGUGAAGUAGAAGGGAAGAACGUUUUAACUUUGGUUGGAAAUCUGAUGACAUUACAUAGAAGGUGAUGAAACAUCCUCUAAGAAACGGUUCUGAUCCAUUGUAUGGCACCCCCCUCUCACAUUCCCCCAUUUUACCCACUAAAGAAGUUCUUUUACAAGAGGCUAAGGAAACCAAGCAAUAUAAGAUCUAAUCAAAACUGAGUGCUGGAAAUGUGUGGGGAGAAAUCCAUAAUUAAACUGAGCAAUUAACUCCAGAAAGUUAACUGGGGCCAACUCUGACACUGCUAUAAAGUUAUAAAAUCUCCAGCAUCUCAUUUCUUUGUCCCUCUACCCAAUUUCCCCUCAAAGGUAAGCCUCUCUUUCUCUCUCCUCUCUUCUUCAUAUUUAAUAAAACUGUUUGCCAGAAAGGAAAGAA
rnacentral:lncRNA from 1 species